UACGAAGGUGGCAAGCGUUGUUCGGAUUCACUGGGCGUACAGGGUGUGUAGGCGGUUUGGUAAGCCUUCUGUUAAAGCUUCGGGCCCAACCCGGAAAGCGCAGAGGGUACUGCCAGGCUAGAGGGCGGGAGAGGAGCGCGGAAUUCCCGGUGUAGCGGUGAAAUGCGUAGAGAUCGGGAGGAAGGCCGGUGGCGAAGGCGGCGCUCUGGAACGUACCUGACGCUGAGACGCGAAAGCGUGGGGAGCGAACAGG
rnacentral:rRNA from 1 species